rnacentral:rRNA from 1 species
GACGAACGCUGGCGGCGUGCCUAAUACAUGCAAGUCGAACGCAGUGGGGACGGGUGAGUAACCCGUGGGUAACCUCCCAUCAGAGGGGAUAACACUUGGCAACAGGUGCUAAACCGAUACUGAUUGAUUGACCCGCGGUGCAUUAGCUCGUUGGUGAGGUAACGGCUCACCAAGGCCACGAUGCAUAGACAAACGGAGAGGGGGAUCGGCGACACUGGGAGGGAGACACGGCCAAGACGAAUACGGGAGGCAGAAGUAGGGAAUGUGAGGCAAUGGACGAAAGUAUGACAGAGCAACGCCGCGUGAGUGAAGAAGGUGUUCGGAUCGGAAAAAUCUGUUGUGAGAGAAACGGUAGCGAACCAGAAAGCAACGGCUAACUACGUGCCAGCAGCCGCGGUAAUAC